rnacentral:ncRNA from 1 species
UCUCCCGCUUCUCCUCCCUGAGCGGGUGCCUUAAUUCCAAAGAUUAAGGCUUUUUCGCCCCCGGUUUAUAUCCCCUUUACCGGGGGCCUUUUAUU